CUCCCAGUAUAUUGCAGUCCCUCCCAGUCCAUCCCAGUCCAUCCCAGUCCCCCCCACUCCCCUCCCAGUAUAUCCCAGUCCCUCCCAGUCCCUCCCAGUCCCUCCCAGUCCCUCCCAGUCCAUCCCAGUCCAUCCCAGUCCCUCCCAGUCCCUCCCAGUCCCUCCCAGUCCGUGCUGACCCCGCUCGAUUUCCCCCCCCAGGUUUGGGAGCCCAUGGGGGGCCCGGGGGGGGCCCUGGAGCAGCUGCAGCUCAGCAGGUGAGGGGGGGACCCCAAAAUGGGGGGGGGGCCCAAAAAUGUGAGGGGACCCCAAAAAUGGGGAGGGGAUCCCAGAAUGUGGGGGGGAUCCCAAAAAUGGGGAGGGGAAGACACGAAAUAUGGGGGGGGACUUUUGGGGUCACUUUUUGGGGUCCAGAGCUCCAUUUUGGGGUCCAAGGCUCAAUUUUUGGGGUUCAGAGGGGUCCAGGGCUCCAUUUUCGGGCUCCAGGGCUCCAUUUUCGGGGUCCAUUUGUGGGGUCCAAGGCUCCGUUUUUGGGGUUCAGAGGGGUGCAGGGUUCCAUUUUUUGUGUCCAGGGUCUAAUUUCGGGGUCCAGAGCUCCAUUUUCCUGGGGUGCAGAGCUCCAUUUUUGGGCUGCAGGGCUCAAUUUUUGGCGUCCAGGGCUCCAUUUUGGUGUCCAAGGUUCCAUUUUUGGGCUCCAAGGCUCCAUUUUCGGGCUCCAUUUUCAGGCUCCAUUUUUGGGCUCCAUUUUUGGGCUUCAGGGUUCCAUUUUUGGGGUUCAGAGGGGUCCAAGGCUCCAUUUUGGGCUCCUAGGCUCCAUUUUGGGCUCCAAGGCUCCAUUUUCGGGCUCCAUUUUGGGCUCCAAGGCUCCAUUUUUGGGGUCCAAGGCUCCAUUUUCGGGCUCCGUUUUUGGGGUCCAUUUUUGGUGUCCAGGGCUCCGUUUUCGGGCUCCAGAGUUCCAUUUUUGGGGUCCAAGGCUCCAUUUUCGGGCUCCAUUUUUGGGCUUCAAGGCUCCAUUUUUGGGGUCCAAGGCUCCAUUUUCGGGCUCCAUUUUGGGCUCCAAGGCUCCAUUUUCGGGGUUCAGAGCUCCAUUUUCGGGCUCCAUUUUGGGGUCCAAGGCUCCAUUUUGGGCUCCAAGGCUCCAUUUUUGGGCUCCAAGGCUCCAUUUUGGGGCUCCAUUUUGGGCUCCAAGGCUCCAUUUUGGGGCUCACCCCGUCCCUGUCCCCCUGGCGCGGGCCCAGGACCCAGGAGCCCGAAGUUGGUGGCCGAGGUUCGCGUGGCGGAGCCGGGGGGGCUGGCGGCCGCCUCGGGGCUCCUGCGCCGGGAACGGCCCUGGAGGGCCCCCAAAGCAGGUCACCUGCCCGGCUCCUCCUCCCGCCGCUGGCGCCUUCCCCGGGGUCCCCCAUCCCCCCCUGGCCCCCCCACCACCGGGACCCCCCUGGCUCCUCCCCUCCCCCACCGGACCCGCCGAGCCCCUCCCCCCACGCCCGGCCGGCCCCGCCGCCCCCGAGGACCCCGAGCGGCCGCUCCGGCCGGGGGGACCCCGGGGGGACCCCAACAGCAGCAGCAACAACAGCGCCCCCCGCAGCCCCCUGCAGCCAACCGGGACGAGCCCGGCCGCACCCACCCGCCGGAAAAAGCCGAUUCUUCCUCCUCUUCCUCCUCCUCCUCUUCCUCCUCUUCUUCUUCUUCCUCCCGCUCUUCCUCCUCGUCCGCCUCCUCUUCCUCGGGCCCACCCGGGCCCGUCUCGGCCCGGCCCCGCUCGCCUUGCCUGGAUAUUUAUGAUCCUUUCCACCCCACCGACGAGGAGAACCCGGGUUUGGGGGCGGAGGAGGAGGAGGAGGAGGAGCCCCGGAUUUUGGUUACGGCAGCGGCGCCGCCUCCUCUUCGUCGCCCGGCAAAGAGGCCGAAGGCCGGCAGGACCAGAAGUACGACCCCUUCGACCCCACGGGUUCCAACCCCAGCUCGUCCCGCAGCAGCCCCAGCCCUGAGGAGGAGGAGGAGGAAGAGGAGGAGGAGGAGGAGGAGGAGGAAGAGGAGGAGGAGGAGGAGGAAGAGGAGGAGGAGGAGGAGGAGGAAGAGGCGCCGGCGCUGCUGCCAGACGUUUCCCACAGCAUCAGCCGCAUCUCGGAGACCUUGGCCGGCAUCUACGACGACAACAGCCUGAGCCAAGACUUCGAGAAAGAUCCGGAACCGCCGAAAACUCCCCCGAACCCUCCCGGUGCCGACUCCACCCUGCCCGAGGAGGAGGACGAGGAUGAGGACGAGGAGGAGGAGGAGGAGGAAGAGCGCGAGGAAGGCUCCGAGACGAGGGCCGCCGGCCAACCGAACCGCCGCGCUCGGUGGACCUGGGCGGCAAAGGCCGCGCCGAGCGCGAGGCCCACCCCAAAUUCGACGGCAAACUCUCCUUGGAGGUGGUGACCCCCGGCAACCCCAAAGCGCCCCAAAACCCGGCGGCGCCGCCUCCAAGAACGCUGCGGCGCCACCCCGAAACCCUCCCGGCACCGCGGGCGCCGCGAGUGGGGCACGCCGGGCGACUCGGAGAUCGAGGAAGGGGAGAUCGUGCAGCCAGAGGAGGAGAGGUUCAGCCCAUUGAGGAUUUUCCGUGGCGGUGGCAGCGGUGGUGGUGGCACCACCGGGCCCGGCGCCGGCGCCGCCCGAGGCCGGCCGGAGCCGCGAGCGCCGCGUCUCCCCGAGGGCGGCGACGAUUUCCUGUCUCUCCACGCCGAUUCUGAUGAAGAAGCCGAUUUCGGCGCCGAAUCCCAACCGGAUCCGCGUUGGAAAAGCGGGGCGGCGGCGGGCGGCAACGCCGGCGGCGGUGGCGGCAACUCCGAUUUGAGGAGGAAAAUCCUCAGCCAGCGCCGGCUCCGCGCGCCGCCGCCGCCGCGUUCGCCGCUGGCCGCGCCCAGGAAGAAAUCCAAACGAUCCCGGGAACGCGGCGGCUCCGGGAGCGCCUGGGCCGGCGCCAAGAAAGCUCCGGAACCGGCGCCGAAAUCCAAAGAGCGACACCGGCGCCACGGGUCCAGGCCGCGGCUGCGCGCGCGGUCGCGGCGCUCAAGGUCGAGGGAGAAACGGCGCCGGCGCCGGCAGCUCCGGGCGGUCGCGGCACAAAGAGAAGCACCGCGGGGAGAAGAAGAAGAAGAAGCAACGCUCGAGGUCCCGGGAACGCCGCGGGUCGCGGAGGGACGGCGGCGACGGGAAAGCGGCGGAGAAGGGCGAUGGCGCGGCGCGGCGCUGGUGCCGCCCGGGUGCAGGAGCUGAACGACUCGGAUCUUUUUGCCAUCAAAAGAACCAUCACGGUGAAUCGGCGCGCGGCGACGCCGGAACCCAAACGGGAGGUUCUCUACGAUUCCGAAGGGUUGAGCUUUGAGGGAUUUUCCGACCGCGAGCACGCCGAGUUCCCGGCGAGGAAAACCGAGGUGAGGCCGGCGGCGGAGCCCGGAAAGAAGGAGAAGGAGAGGAAACGGAGCCGCCCCGAGGAGAGGCCGACGGGGAGGGAGAAAUACAAGAAAAAAUUCAAGGAUUACGCCGAGCCCGCCGCGGCGGAGAGCGGGAAAAGCAAAGAGAAGCAGCGCGAGAAAAGCGGCAGGAAAGGGAAAACGGGAGGCGGGCACAAGGAAGGGGCGGAAACGGCGGCGCCGGAAGCGCCCGCGGCGGCGCCCAGGAAGGUGAAGCUCCAAUCCAAGGUGUCGGUGUUGAUCCGGGAGGGCGUCAGCUCCACCACGACCACCAAAGACGGUGGAGGCGGCAGCGGCGGCGGCGGUGCCGGCAUCGGGGUGAAAUUCGCCCGCGAUGCCGAGAGCCGGGCGGCGUUCCUGAAAGCCGAGGAGAAAACGCAGAAAGGCACCCCCAAAAACGACGGGGGGCCGGCGCGAGACGGAGGUGUGAAACCGCGCAAGGUGAAAGCGCCCAAAGUCAAGGGAGGGGUGAAGAAAGUCAAAGUCAAAGCCAAGGGCGAGGCGAGGAAGAAGAGGAAGACCAAGGUGAAGAGCGGCGGCGGCGGCGCUUUGAAGAAAUCCAAAGCCGACAGCCAAAGCGCCGCCACCCCUCCUCUCCGUCUGCCCCCCAAACCCGAACCCACCUGGUCGGGCUCUGAAAAAUCCGCCGGGGGAACCCCAAAACCUCCCAGCCCCUCCUCGCCGCGGGCGCCACCCCCCAAACCCGCCCCCGCCCGCCGCCCGCCGAAGCGCGAAGCUCGCAGACGGUGGACAGCAGCUGCAAGACCCCCGACGUGUCCUUCCUGCCCGAGGAGGGCUCCGGGGAACCCCCCCAGAGCGCGGGCAGCGAGGGGACGGGCCCGGGGGAGCCCCCCGAGGGGGACCCUCGAGGCCACAGCCGCAGCGAGGGCAAGGAGGAGGCGGCGAGAGGGCGGGCGCCGGGGCGGGGACGGGUAACGGCGCGGGCGCCGGGGGGGCAGGCGGCGGGGACUGGCGCCACCAGCGCGGCACGGGUGACGGGGUCCCCGGGGUGUCCUUGUUUGGUCGG
ensembl:lncRNA